rnacentral:rRNA from 1 species
CCAGACUCCUACGGGAGGCAGCAGUGGGGGAUAUUGCACAAUGGGGGGAACCCUGAUGCAGCGACGCCGCGUGGGUGAAGAAGCGCCUCGGCGCGUAAAGCCCUGUCAGCAGGGAAGAAAAUGACGGUACCUGAAGAAGAAGCCCCGGCUAACUACGUGCCAGCAGCCGCGGUAAUACGUAGGGGGCAAGCGUUAUCCGGAUUCACUGGGUGUAAAGGGAGCGUAGACGGCCAUGCAAGCCAGGGGUGAAAGCCCGGGGCCCAACCCCGGGACUGCCCUUGGAACUGUGCGGCUAGAGUGCGGGAGGGGCAGGCGGAAUUCCUGGUGUAGCGGUGAAAUGCGUAGAUAUCAGGAGGAACACCGGCGGCGAAGGCGGCUUACUGGACUGUAACUGACGUUGAGGCUCGAAAGCGUGGGGAGCAAACAGGAUUAGAUACCCUAGUAC